rnacentral:rRNA from 1 species
GAAUUUAAUAUAAUUUUUAAAUUUGUUUAAUGAAUGAAUUUACUUUAAUAAUUAUAUUUUAUUGGGAGGAUAAUUAAAUAAAAUGAACUUUAAUUUUAAGAUAAUUAACAUUAAUUAGUGAAAUUUUGAUAAAGGAUUAAUUAUUAAAUUAAAAAAAAUUUUUUUUUUAUAAUAAUUAUUAUAAAAAUUAAUUACCUUAGGGAUAACAGCGUAAUAUUUUUAGAAAGAUCAUAUUAAUAAGAAUGAUUGC